AAAAGGAAAAAAAAAGAAUUUUUAAUAGUGCUGAAUUGACUAUUUUUGUUCAUUUUACAGUAUCAUGCUUCUCUGACAUGUUUACUUUACAAAUGCUUCAGCUCAUGGCCAUGACUUAUUUUGAAUGGUAAAGUAUAUAAUUAAUGUCAAGGUGAAAGGCGAUUAUGCUUGUGAACACUCCUCUAUGCCCUCCAGAAACCACUUAUGAAGCCAAUUUAGGUCACACAUGGUUCAGUCUCUCGGAAAUCUUUCUUAGUAAAGCCCCGAGGCACUCUCUUUUACUGAGCAAUUAACAGAAAGCCAGCUCCUUGUGCUAUUGUGGGGAAAUGAUAAUUUGUGGAGAAGGGGGAAGGACUGUCUAAGACACACAAAUGUUUCUUCAUAUAGCUCUCUUGAAAGCUGAAAAUGCAAUUUAAAUGGGCAGUUAAGGUAGAGAGCAACAAAGGUCCAAAAUGCCAGAAUGAAAGUGCUUAUUUGUUAAAUACAGUAUUUUGAGGCUUUCCAUCACCUUCUGUUAAAUUUUUCCUGGCUAUUUGAACAGAUGUUUCUGAAGAAACCCCCUCGGCAAGCCACGCUGCAAAGGAAUAGUUCCCAGAUCUUGGCAUAUCUGGAUGUACUGCUGCACCCUGAAACCUCUGUGCAGAUGACAUCAUCUCCUGAACACGGAGUUGCUGUAGACCUCACCACCGAGGUGAAUUUGUUACUGCCACUCACUAGAGAGAGAAGGAGCUCCCGCACUGUUGGCUGAGGUUACCUGUCCUGUGCCUGUUUGGCUCACAGGGGAUGUGGGACAGAGAUCUGCAGGUGUCUCAGUACUCAGGAGCCUUAUCUCCAAGGAGAUUUUUUUUUUUAAAGAGCUUCUCAGGGAGCUACAGCAUUUCCCCUGUCACAGACAAUGAGUCAUGCAGAGCUGCUUUAACAGAAAAGAAUUUGCAGUAAUCUGGAUGUAAUGGUUUUCUUUCACAGGAAAUAAUGAACAAGAAUUCAGUUCAGCUGUUUAUAACAGCGAUCAGAGGGACUUCUCUGGCUAUUAUGGCAGUUCAGGGUGUAAGGCAGUCCAGUUAACGUGCCAGAAAAGAAAUAAUAAAGAUUUCAAGAGCACAGUCA
rnacentral:lncRNA from 1 species